CUCUGUAGAUGUCGCGAUGGA
rnacentral:miRNA from 1 species